rnacentral:rRNA from 1 species
GAUGAACGCUGGCGGCGUGCUUAACACAUGCAAGUCGAACGAGAAGUGAAGACGGAAACCUUCGGGCGGAAGGCUUUAUUUCGAGUGGCGGACGGGUGAGUAACGCGUGGGUAACCUGCCUCAUACAGGGGGAUAACAGUUGGAAACGACUGUUAAUACCGCAUCAGACUACAGCACCGCAUGGUGCGGGGGUAAAAACUCCGGUGGUAUGAGAUGGACCCGCGUUCGAUUAGCCAGUUGGCGGGGUAACGGCCCACCAAAGCGACGAUCGAUAGCCGAUCUGAGAGGAUGACCGGCCACAUGGGGACUGAGACACGGCCCAAACUCCUACGGGAGGCAGCAGUGGGGAAUAUUGCACAAGGGGGGAAACCCUGAUGCAGCGACGCCGCGUGAGUGAAGAAGUAUUUCGGUAUGUAAAGCUCUAUCAGCAGGGAAGAAAAUGACGGUACCUGAGGAAGAAGCCCCGGCUAACUACGUG